rnacentral:tRNA from 1 species
GAGGAUGUAGCUCAGUGGUAGAGCGCAUGCUUAGUAUGCACGUGGUCCUGUGUUCAAUCCUCAGCACCUCCA